CCACUUACCUUAAAAAAUUGAGUAAAUUGAAUGAAUAAUUUUUUUGUGUGUGUAUAUAUCAACCGAUAUUUGGAUUUCUUUAUAAAUCUAUUUAUAAAUCUUUAUUUAUAUUUAUUUAUAAUUUAUAAAUCUUUUCGGCCAUUUUCUCCAUUAUUUAAAUUUGUUGUUUGUAAUCAAUUUAAAACACUAAAUUUAAAGCCAAAGUCUGACAGACCAUAAAACGACCAAUCAUUAUUCACUUUUAACAUGACUUUAUAUUGUGUUACACAAAAACACCACAAUUAAACAAACUUAAUUAAAAAUGUACAUAAUAAGACAUAACUAAUGUGGAUUUGACAUCUCAUGCUACUGUUUAAAUAUGUAAAUAUGAUUUACCUUUAAAUGGUAUAUUUAUAAAUAUUAUGCAUAACAAAUGUUUAUGUAGUUUCACUUUUUUUGUCUCUUUUUUACGGCAAUUACAUUUUUGUGUUAUAUCGGCAUAACAACUUUCUUAAUAUCGGUUUUGGCCAUUAAAACCCCAUAUUGGUCGACCACUACUAAAUAGUACAAAUUAUGACCUUUUUAAAGGAAUAGUUUACCAAAAAUAAAAAUUCUGUCAUCAUUUACCGUAUUUUCCGGACUAUAAGUUGCUCCGGAGCAUAAGUCGCAUCAGCCAAAAAUGCGUUUUGAAGAGGAAAAAACAUAAGUCGUUAAUUUAGAAAAUUAUUUCACAAAAUCCAAGCCGAAGAACAGACAUUUAAUCUGGAAAGGCAAGUUAUUCAACUAAACAAUAGCACAGAACAGCAGGCUGAAUAGGUGUCCGUAUAUGUUAAAAUAACAUAAACAGUUAUUUACACGAUACGCAAUAGCAUACAGAACAUAACUGGGAGGCUGAAUUGGCUAAAUUAUCACGACAAGCCAAAUCAAGUUCAAAAAGGUCCCGAAGUAAUUUCACAUCACUGAAUCCAUUGAAUUACAUAAAUACAUGAGCAGCAUAGAGCGGACUCUCGCCGCUGUAGACGGUAAUGGUUUCACUUGGUUCGUAUGAAAUAAUUUUGACAUAUAAGUCGCACCUGAUUUUAAGUUCCACGAUCCGGCAAUCUAUGAAAAAGGGCAAAUUAUAGUCCGGAAAAUACAUUACUCACUUUCAUGUUGUUACAAACCUGUAUAAAUUUCUUUGUUCUGAUGAACCCAAAAGAAGAUAUUUUGAGAAAUGUUUGUAAACUGAUCAGAACCCCCAUUCACUUCCAUAGUAGGAAAAUAGGAGUGUGAUACCUGUACAUAUAAUGAGAAAAUGUAUUGAUAUAAAUAUGUUGAUUUGUCUGGGAAAGCCAUGUGUAAGCGCAGCUGCUUGGAUUGGGGCUGUCUGGAUUUAGGCUGUGAAGGCCAGGUCUGACCCUACAAGCGUGUGCCAAGUCACCAAGCCAAUAACCAUGACAACGAGACUUCAAAGCUGCCGUUUGAAAAUUGCUGUUUACUCUUAAGUGCCAUAAAAGACAAGACCUCCAUUCAACCUAUCGUGACCUCCACUCGUUGCCAUCGACUUGUGCUCCAUUAAUUAUAGCAUUAACUCAGUGAGGAGCCCUCCGCUGUAACUGGUUAAUAGGAAAUGAAAGCGGUGACAAAGCUCCUGUCAUGUCAUGUGUGAUUGUUAUGAAUGGUGGAGAGGAAAUGUUUUGGGUGCUGCUUAAAGGGAGAUAAACGCUUGGGUGUUGGUCUUAUUUCCUGGGCGUCUCUGUCUGUCCUGAAAUAGUUGCUGUUUGCACUUUCAAUUUUCUUUUGGAGAAUCAGUAUAGUGGGAUAAUAUAUUUUAAUGUUAAAUUUUAACAGCAGCACAAUCGUACUACCUUAUAAUGCCGACAAAAACCUGCAUGAGAGGCCAACGAUUUUAACGUAAACUGGAGCUUUUUUAUGCGGUUUGGCUAUUCGUUGACACAACCACAGCGUUUUGGGAUACUGAAACUUUUAAGAUGGGUUUCAAAGUGCACGUCUCCGUGUUAACUACGUAAAUGCGAAUCUGGGAUGACGGCGCACAUGUAAAUUCAGUUUAUAGACAUGCGCGCGAGUAAAACCAAAACAAAAAUGGCGGCCUACAGGACUUUGUUCAUGCUACUGAAGAUACUGAGUUUAUUUAAGCUUCUCCAACCAGUUAACAAUUUUGUCGCCUUGUAGUAACAUCUACCUCAUUGUCCGUCUAAACACAACUGCAUGAUGCUUUUGCCAUCAGUACGCAAUCUUACAGUGUUUCUUUACAAAGUAACAUCGCCAUCUACUGGCCUGGCAUGCGUAAUACAGCAGAUUUAGUCGUCUUAAAAAUGUGGAUCUAUUUGACAGUGUUGGCGUGUGUCCGUGAAUUUUUUUAUAAACGCAAAGGAAUAACAUUUCUGUUUUACUACAUUGUUGUCAUGUAAACUUUUUAGCAACUCAAGUAUUUUGUUGUGCCACAUUUUCAAGAAUGCCCCCUGACACUUUUCGCAUCGAGGAGAGUGACGGAGCGCAUGUUAAACAGCCUGGGGUCACGAGGCUGCCGCUGUACUGUGCACUUUCACGUCUGGCUCUUCGCCUCUCAUCACUCCUCACAGGGGUUUUGUCACAGGGAGAGCGCGCGUUGGCAGCGCCUCAUUAAAAAGUGACAAUGGUGGGGCAUUCCAGGAAUGUGGGCUCUCAUUCAUUCUCUCCCUCUUUAGAUGCACGGAGACGCCGUGCCAAGCACUGACAAGGCAGAGGGGAAUCCUCCUUCCCAAUGAUGAAUAAGAUUCCUUGAGAUUCUUUAUAGACCUCAUCUUGAGAUUUAUAGUAUGCAGUUAUAGUCUUCAAAACUUGGAGAUUGUGUACUAUGCAUGUGAAUGCAGUUUGCACAUUGUAUUUUCCAUUUAAACAUUGCCAUUCUUUGUGCUUUUAUGCUAGUGCAAGGAGUUUGAAUCUUUCUGAAUCAUUCAUACGGAUUUUUUAAGAAUACUACGUAUAACCCAGCUAACAGGGAACAUUCCCGUAACUUUGGCUAACGUUCUCUAAAUAACCAAACAAUAACGUUAAUACAACGUCUAAUAAACUGGACGUUUUAAACAUUCUAAGAACGUUUAAAACGAUUGUUUUUAUAAACUAUUAUGAAUGUUAGGAAAACGUUCUUAAAACAUUAAUAUAACAACAGACUGAACCAUUUUGAAUAACGUUCUUAUAACCAAAAAUUAACGUUCAUACAACGUCUAAUAAACUGCAUGUUUUAAACGUUCUAAGAAAAUUUAAACAUGUUUUAUAACCUAUUAUGAAUGUUAGGAAAACGUUCUUAAAACAUUAAUAUAACAACAGGCUGAACUGGUUUGAAUAACGUUCUUAUAACCAAACAAUAACGUUCAUACAACGUCUAUUACACUGGAUGUUUUAAACAUUCUAAGAACGUUUAAACAUUGUUUUUAUAACCUAUUAUGAACGUUAGGAAAACGUUCUUAAAACAUUAAUAUAACAACAGACUGAACUGUCCUAAAAACGUUUUAAAUAACGUCUUAUAACCAAACAUUAACGUUCAUACAACGUCAAAAAAACUGGACGUUUUAAACGUUCUAAGAACAUUUAAAUGUUGUUUUUAUAACCUAAUAUGAAUGUUAGAAAAACGUUCUUAAAACAUUAAUAUAACAGCAGACUGAACUGGUUUGAAUAAUGUUCGUCGAAAAACUUGACGUUUUAAACGUUAUAAGAACGUUUAAGCAAUGUUUUAUAACGUUAGGAAAACGUUCUUAAAACAUUAAGAUAACAACAGACUGAACCGUCCAAAAAACUUUUGAAUAACGUUCUUAUAACCAAACAUUAACGUUCAUACAACGUCUAAUAAACUUGACGUUUUAAACGUUCUAAGAACGUUUAAACAAUGUUUUUAUAACCUAUUAUGAAUGUUAUGAAAACGUUAUUAAAACUUUAAUAUAACAACUGAACUGUUCUAUAAACGUUUUGAAUAACGUUCUUAUAACCAAACAAUAACGUUCAUGCAACAUCUAAAAAACUUGAUUUUUAACGUUCUAAGAAUGUUAAAAAAUAGACGUUUUUAAAACGUAAGUAAAACUUCACAGAAACGUUUUAUAACAGAAAAUUUUAAGCUGGGAAAGAGUAAAGAGUGAAAUGCUAAAUGCACAGAUUAAACAGAGACGACUGUCAGACUAACAGGUGGUCAAUGUGCAUCUGUGCACACCCUUUUUUAAACCAGCUUAAAGGGGCAACACUCAAGAAUGCAACAAAUUCAAAACAUGUCCGACAUUCCUACUCAUGUUUGACUCCUGAACAUAUUGCAUGAUCUCUCCGAAUGACCAGCCUGACAGUGUAUCGAAAUAACCUUGUCCUAGCGUUUAAAGUCUUUGUUUAUGCUGUGAUAACUCUGCGUGUUUGUGCGUCACCUGUGUAUGUGCAACUAUCCUUGAGAAUGUGUUUUAGGAGUUGACGGCACACAGAACACUCUGCACCUUCUUAUCAGAGGCCUGGUACCAACCGGAGUCGAUCCCCGAGAGAAGAAACAGCUCCCCGUGUAUGUGUGCGUGUGAUAGAGCGUUUGAACGAGUAACUCCCACAAUAUUAUCUCCCAGAGAUUUUCUUCAUGAUCUCCCGCCGACGAAUGCUACUGUAAAGCCUCAUAGCGAGACUGAUGGAGCUAAGACAGGAUCCACACCAGCCUUCCCAAUGACAAUGCGGCUCCAGUGUCGGGUCGGGUCACCUUUGAUGAUCCCCUUUCCUGGGCGUGCCGUUACAGGAGGAUGCAGUUGUUGUGCACUAUUUUUAAGAGUCACCCAGUGAGGGAGCUCCAGUGGAGACUUCAAGGGUAAGCCAGCAGAAGGUCACAAGAGGAAGGAAAGAAGUCAAUUUUUCUACCUCCAGACGUCCAUUAGUUGGAUCCAGAAAAGAUUUGUUUAUUCACAGGUUGGGUGUGGCACAGGAAGCUGCCAACAAGAGCUUCCCCAGAAACAGUUGCAGGGCGAUCCCUGCGUUUCUAUAGGAGGAAAUGGGGAAGCUGGGCGUGGGUCUGCCACAGGCCACUUCCAGUCUGAGGGAUGUGAAAAGCGUAGGAAGUAAAGAGCUUUCCGGACCCCUUUGGGAUGACAUUAUGGAUAGGAAGCGUUGGAGGAAUUGUUGAGCUGUAAAUUCGAGGAAUCGUGGCAAUCCAUAAAUGAUUCACAGUUAAUGACAGCUUUCUCAUGGCACGCAGGACUGCAAACAGGUCCAUCAGCUGAGACAUAAGAGACGAAAGCAUAGUGAAGUAGGAAAAACGUUAUCGUUGGUUUGAAAUGCUCACUUUUGCAGUCUGGUCCAAAACGGCCGUCCACACACAGCUCACAGGCUACACCCGUAAAUCCGACAUCGCAGGUGCAGGUGCCGUUUCCUAAUUGAUCCUCAUCACACUUGCCAUGGUUACUGCAGGGGGAUUCUGGACCACCAGGACAUGCUGGAGAACAGGGAUCCCGUGCAAGUCUCUCCAUCUCCAACAAAACCAAUCUCACAGGUACAGUUUCUCUCCAAGGGUCCUGUCAUGGUACAGCGGGCAUACCUGUGGCAUCCACCGUUGUUCUUGACAGAAAACAAACCAUGAGAUUAAACAACGUCACAGAAUAGUUUAUUUGUCUAAUGUCGAGUUUAACUCUUUCCCGCCAUUGAGGAGUUAGUUCAUCAAUUCAGAGAAAACUUUCCCUGCCAAUGACGGUUUCUUUUUGCGGUAAUCCGCUAUUAUCCACUAAAUGGCGAUCUUUUUUUAAUUUAUAAAAAACGGAUGCAAAAACUAAUAUAAUUUAUUUUAAACUCUUUGUAUGUUUUGAUCAUCGUUCUGAAUCAGAUCUCUAAAAAAGUCCUUUACUAAACUGCAAUUAUUUCAGCUUUUUGAUCAAAAUUUGGUAUUUUUGAAGAAACCCAUAUUUAAAGGAACAGUAUGUAGGAUUGUGGCCAAAACUGGUACUGCAAUCACACAACUGGUGGCCAAUACACAACAACAUAAACAUCAGUUGAGGGCUGCAACCCCACUUUUUAAAUGACAAUAUCUUGGCUGGCUAUUUUAUGAUUAAUUGAUAUAAAUUUCUUACAUACUGUUCUUUAAGAGGUGAUAAAAAGAAAA